rnacentral:rRNA from 1 species
AAGACCUCAAAUCAGGUGGGACUACCCGCUGAACUUAAGCAUAUCA